rnacentral:rRNA from 1 species
CCUACGGGUGGCAGCAGUAGGGAAUUUUCGGCAAUGGGGGGAACCCUGACCGAGCAACGCCGCGUGAAGGAAGAAGGAAUUCGUUCUGUAAACUUCUGUUAUCAAGGAAGAAAGACGGAUGGAGGAAAUGACAUCCGAGUGACGGUCCUUUAUGAGACAGCCACGGCUAACUAUGUGCCAGCAGCCGCGGUAAUACGUAGGUGGCAAGCUUUAUCCGGAUUUAUUGGGUUUAAAGGGUGCGCAGGCGGAAGAUCAAGUCCGCGGUAAAAUUGAGAGGCUCAACCUCUUCGAGCCGUUGAAACUGGUGUUCUUGAGUGAGUGAGAAGUAGGCGGAAGGCGUGGUGUAGCGGUGAAAUGCAUAGAUAUCACGCAGAACACCGAUUGCGAAGGCAGCAUACCGGCGCUCAACUGACGCUCAUGCACGAAAGUGUGGGUAUCGAACAGGAUUAGAUACCCGAGUAGUC